UAACCAUGCUGAUAGCGAGCAGCCUUAUCUCCUUCCUGUCAGGCCUCUGAGCCCAAGCCAAGCCAUCACAUCCCCUGUGACUUGCACGUAUACGCCCAGAUUGCCUGAAGUAACUGAAGAAUCACAAAAGAAGUGAAUAUGCCCUGCCCCACCUUAACUGAUGACAUUCCACCACAAAAGAAGUGUAAAUGGCCGGUCCUUGCCUUAAGUGAUGACGUUACCUUGUGAAAGUCCUUUUCCUGGCUCAUCCUGGCUCAAAAAGCACCCACACUGAGCACCUUGCAACCCCCACUCCUGCCCGCCAGAGAACAAAGCCCCUUUGACUACGCGCAUUAAAUUUGGUGCCGUGACUCGGAUCAGGGGACCUCCCUUGGGAGAUCAAUCCCCCGUCCUCCUGCUUUCUGCUCCGUGAGAAAGAUCCACCUACGACCUCAGGUCCUCAGACCGACCAGCCCAAGAAACGUCUCACCAAUUUCAAAUCCGGUAAGCGGCCUCUUUUUACUCUCUUCUCCAACCUCCCUCACUAUCCCUCAACCUCUUUCUUCUUUCAAUCUUGGCGCCACACUUCAAUCUCUCCCUUCUCUUAAUUUCAAUUCCUUUCAUUUUCUGGUAGAGACAAAGGAGACACAUUUUAUCCGUGGACCCAAAACUCCGGUGCCGGUCACAGAUUGGGAAGGCAGGCUUCCCUUGGUGUUUAAUCACUGCAGGGACACCUCUCUGAUUAUACACCCACGUUUCAAGGGUGUCAGACCACACAGGGACGCCUGCCUUGGUCCUUCACCUUUAGCGGCAAGUCCCGCUUUUCUGGGGAAGGGGCAAGUACCCCAACCCCUUCUCUUCUUGUCUCUACCCCUUCUCUGCUUUUCUGGGGACAGGGCAAGUACCCCAAGCCCUUCUCUCCUUGUCUCUACCCCUUCUCUGCUUUUCCGGGGACAGGGCAAGUACCCCAAGCCCUUCUCUCCUUGUCUCUACCCCUUCUCUGCUUUUCUGGGAGAGGGGCAAGUACCCCUCAACCCCUUCUCCUUCACUCUUAGCAGCAAGUCCCACUUUUCUAGAGGGGCAAGUACCCCAACCUCAUAUCUCUGCGCCCCAAUCCCUUAUUUCCGCGCCCCGGCCUCUUAUUUCUGCGCCCCAUCCCUUAUUUCCGUGCCCCGACCUCUUCUCUGCGCCCCAACCCCUUUUCCCACUUUUCUGGAAAGUAAGAACUCCCGAACCCCUUCCCUCAGUUUCUCUACUCUCUUCUCUAGGAUUGCUUCCUUCACUAUGGGAACCUUCCACCCUCCAUUCCUCCUCCUACUCCCUUGGCCUGUGUUCUCAAAAACUUAAAACCUCUUCAACUCACACCUGACCUAAAACCUAAAUGCCUUAUUUUCUUCUGCAAUGCCCCUUGACCCCAAUACAAACUCGACAGUAGUUCCAAAUAGCCAGAAAAUGGCACUUUGAAUUUUUCCAUCUUGCAAGAUCUAAAUAAUUCUUGUCAUAAAAUAGGCAAACGGUCUGAGGUGCCUGACGUCCAGGCAUUCUUUUACACAUCAGUCUCUUCCUAGUCUCUGUGCCCAGUGCAACUCGUCCCAAAUCUUCCUUCUUUCCCUCCCACCUGUCUCCUCAGUACCAACCCCAAGCAUCGCUGAGUCUUUCUAAUCUUCCUUUUCUACAGACCCAUCUGACCUCUCCCUUCCUCCCCAGGCUGCUCCUUGCCAGGUCCCAAUUCUUCCUCAGCCUCUGCUCCUCCACCCUAUAAUCCUUUUAUCACCUCCCCUCCUCACAUCUGGUCCAGCUUACAGUUUCGUUCCGUGACUAGCCCUCCCACUCCUGCCCAGCAAUUUACUCUUAAAAAGGUGGCUGGAGCUAAAGGCAUAGUCAAAGUUAAUGCUCCUUUUUCUUUAUCCCAAAUCGGAUAGCGUUUAGGAUCUUUUUCAUCAAAUAUAAAAAUCCAGCCCAGUUCAUGACUUGUUUGGCAGCAACCCUGAGACACUUUACAGCCCUAGACCCUAAAAGGUCAAAAGGCCGUCUUAUUCUCAAAAUACAUUUUAUUACCCAAUCUGCUCCCGACAAUAAAUAAAACUCCAAAAAUUAAAUUCCGGCCCUCAAACCCCACAACAGGAUUUAAUUAACCUCGCCUUCAAGGUGUACAAUAAUAGGAAAAAGUUGCAAUUCCUUGCCUCCACUGUGAGACAAACCCCAGCCACAUCUCCAGCGCACAAGAACUUCCAAACGCCUGAACCGCAGCGGCCAGGUGUUCCUCCAGAACCUCCUCCCCCAGGAGCUUGCUACACUUGCCAGAAAUCUGGCCACUGGGCCAAGGAAUGCCCGCAGCCCGGGAUUCCUCCUAAGCCACGUCCCAUCUGUGUGGGACCCCACUGAAAAUCGGACUGUUCAACUCACCUGGCAGCCACUCCCAGAGCCCCUGGAACUCUGGCCCAAGGCUCUCUGACUCCUUCCCAGAUCUUCUCGGCUUAGCUGCUGAAGACUGACACUGCCCGAUCGCCUCAGAAGCCCCAUAGACCAUCACGGACGCCGAGCUUCGGGUAACUCUCACAGUGGAAGGUAAGCCCGUCCCCUUCUUAAUCAAUACGGAGGCUACCCACUCCACAUUACCUUCUUUUCAAGGGCCUGUUUCCCUUGCCUCCAUAACUGUUGUGGGUAUUGACGGCCAGGCUUCUAAACCUCUGAAAACUCCCCAACUCUGGUGCCAACUUAGACAAUACUCUUUUAAGCACUCCUUUUUAGUUAUCCCCACCUGCCCAGUUCCCUUAUUAGGCUGAGACACUUUAACUAAAUUAUCUGCUUCCCUGACUAUUCCUGGAGUACAGCUGUAUCUCAUUGCCGCCCUUCUUCCCAAUCCAAAGCCUCCUUUGCGUCCUCCUCUUGUAUCCCCCCACCUUAACCCACAAGUAUAAGAUACCUCUACUCCCUCCUUGGCGACCGAUCAUGCACCCCUUACCAUCUCAUUAAAACCUAAUCACCCUUACCCCACUCAACGCCAAUAUCCCAUCCCGCAGCACGCUUUAAAAAGAUUAAAGCCUGUUAUCACUCACCUGCUACAGCAUGGCCUUUUAAAACCUAUAAACUCUCCUUACAAUUCCCCCAUUUUACCUGUCCUAAAACCAGACAAGCCUUACAAUUUAGUUCAGGAUCUGCGCCUUAUCAACCAAAUUGUUUUGCCUAUCCGCCCCGUGGUGCCAAACCCAUAUACUCUCCUAUCCUCAAUACCUGCCUCUACAACCCAUUAUUCUGUUCUAGAUCUCAGACAUGCUUUCUUUACUAUUCCUUUGCACCCUUAAUCCCAGCCUCUCUUCGCUUUCACUUGGACUGACCCUGACACUUAUCAAGCUCAGCAAAUUACCUAGGCUGUACUGCUGCAAAGCUUCACAGACAGCCCCCAUUACUUCAAUCAAGCCCAAAUUUCUUCCUCAUCUGUUACCUAUCUCAGCAUAAUUCUCAUAAAAACACACGUGCUCUCCCUGCCAAUCAUGUCCGACUGAUCUCUCAAACCCAAGCACCUUCUACCAAACAACAACUCCUUUCCUUCCUAGGCAUGGUUAGCGUGGUCAGAAUUCUUACACAAGAGCCAGGACCACACCCUGUAUAGCCUUUCUGUCCAAACAACUUGACCUUACUGUUUUAGCCUAGCCCUCAUGUCUGCGUGCAGCGGCUGCCGCUGCUUUAAUACUUUUAGAGGCCCUCAAAAUCACAAACUGUGCUCAACUCACUCUCUGCAGUUCUCAUAACUUCCAAAAUCUAUUUUCUUCCUCAUACCUGACGCAUAUACUUUCUACUUCCUGGCUCCUUCAGCUAUACUCACUCUUUGUUGAGUCUCCCACAAUUACCGUUGUUCCUGGCCCAGACUUCAAUCCGGCCUCCCACAUUAUUCCUGAUACCACACCUGACCCCCAUGACUGUAUCUCUCUGAUCCACCUGACAUUCACCCCAUUUCCCCAAAUUUCCUUCUUUCCUGUUCCUCACCCUGAUCACGCUUGAUUUAUUGAUGGUGGUUCCACCAGGCCUAAUCGCCACACACCAGCAAAAAGGCAGGUUAUGCUAUAGUACAAGCCACUAGCCCGCCUCUUAGAACCUCUCAUUUCCUUUCCAUCGUGGAAAUCUAUCCUUAAGGAAAUAACUUCUCAGUGUUCCAUCUGCUAUUCUACUGCUCCUCAGGGAUUAUUCAGGCCCCCUCCCUUCCCUACACAUCAAGCUCGAGGAUUUGCCCCACCCAGGACUGGCAAAUUAGCUUUACUCAACAUGCCCUGAGUCAGAUAACUAAAAUACCUCUUAGUCUAGGUAGAUACUUUCACUAGAUAGGUAGAGGCCUUUCCUACAGGGUCUGAGAAGGCCACCGCAGUCAUUUCUUCUGUUCUGUCAGACAUAAUUCCUCAGUUUAGCCUUCCCACCUCAAUACAGUCUGAUAACAAACGAGCCUUUAUUAGUCAAAUCAGCCAAGCAGUUUUUCAGGCUGUUAGUGUUCAGUGAAACCUUUAUAUCCCUUACGGUCCUCCGUCUUCAAGAAAAGUAGAAUGGACUAAAGGUCUUUUAAAAACACACCUCACCAAGCUCAGCCACCAACUUAAAAAGGACUGGACAAUACUUUUACCACUUUCCCUUCUCAGAAUUCAGGCCUGUCCUUGGAAUGCUACAGGGUACAGCCCAUUUAAGCUCCUGUAUAGACGCUCCUUUGUAUUAGGCCCCAGCCUCAUUCCAAACACCAGACCAACUUAGACUGUGCCCCAAAAAACUUGUCAUCCCUACUAUCUUCUGUCUAGUCAUACUCCUAUUCACUGUUCUCAACUACUCAUACAUGCCCUACUCUUGUUUACACUGCCGGUUUACACUGUUUUUCCAAGCCAUCACAGCAGAUAUCUCCUGGUGCUAUCCCCAAACUGCCAGUCUUAACUCUUGAAGUAAAUAAAUAAUCUUUGCUGGCAGGACUAUGCUGAAUCUCCUUAGGCACUCUCUAAUCAGAUGUCCUCAGUCGUCCCAAUUCUUAGACCUUUUAUACUUGUUUUUCUCCUUCUGUUAUUCCAUUUAGUUUCUCAAUUCAUCCAAAACCGUAUCCAGGCCAUCACCAAUCAUUCUAUAUGACAAAUGUUUCUUCUAACAUCCCCACAAUAUCACCCCUUACCACAAGACAUCCCUUCAGCUUAAUCUCUCCCACUCGAGGUUCCCACGCCGCCCCUAAUCCCGCUUGAAGCAGCCCUGAGAAACAUCGCCCAUUCUCUCUCCAUACCACCCCCCAAAAAUUUUCACCACCCCAACACUUCAACACUAUUUUGUUUUAUUUUUCUUAUUAAUAUAAGAAGGCAGGAAUGUCAGGCCUCUGAGCCCAAGCCAAGCCAUCACAUCCCCUGUGACUUGCAAGUAUACGCCCAGAUGGCCUGAAGUAACUGAAGAAUCACAAAAGAAGUGAAUAUGCCCUGCCCCACCUUAACUGAUGACAUUCCACCACAAAAGAAGUGUAAAUGGCCGGUCCUUGCCUUAAGUGAUGACAUUACCUUAUGAAAGUCCUUUUCCUAGCUCAUCCUGGCUCAAAAAGCACCCCCACUGAGCACCUUGCAAUCCCCACUCCUGCCCGCCAGAGAACAAACCUCCUUUGACUGUAAUUUUCCUUUACCUACCCGAAUUCUAUAAGACAGCCCCACCCCUAUCUGCCUUCACUGACUCUCUUUUCGGACUCAGCUCACCUGUACCCAGGUGAAAUAAACAGCCAUGUUCCUCACACAAAGCCUGUUUGGUGGUCUCUUCACAAGGACGUGCAUGAAACUUCCUGAUUGAGCAUGCUGUUGGCCUUCACCUGUAUCAAUUUCAGAAUAAUUCAUUUUUUUCAUUUUUUAUUUCUGUGAUGCUUACCCCCUUUUAAGCUUGAACUAUUUUAAUUAAUUGAUUAAUCAUUUUGAUGUUUUCUUAAUCAUGUAUUAUUUCCUAAAACACACUAAGGAGUCUGUUUGACAGCUGACCUAUCCCACCGAGCUCCCAAUUCUUGCUGCAGUAUCAUCUGAUUUUAAUUAUCAUAGCCUUACACCUGGCCAACUCCAUUUUUAGAAACAACAUGCCUUUUUAUUAUUUUGCUUUCUUACUCUUUGGCUCCUUAUGGGGUAAAUCAACUUUCUAACCCAAGAGCUGACAUUUUCAGCAAAGAAGAAAUCGUCUUUUGUUAUGUUAACAUAGAGCCUUAGAUAUUAAUAGAGGCAGCUUCCUCAAACCAUUCCACAAAAUGAUGUGAUAGCUUUACCUUUCCAAAAAAUAAACUAGGAUGUGCAUAACAUUUUGGUGUUAUGUCUAAAGUUUCAUUAAAAUGUACCAUGCAAAACAAUCUUAAGUAUUUCUUUUUCUUUCUUUUUUUUUUUUUUGAGACUGAGUUUCGCUCUUGUUACCCAGGCUGGAGUGCAAUGGUGCGAUCUCAGCUCAUUGCAACCUCUGCCUCCCGGAUUCAAGCAAUUCUCCUGCCUCAGCCUCCGGAGUAGCUGGGAUUACAGGCAUGUACCACCAUGCCCAACAAAUUUUGUAUUUUUAGUAGAGACAGAGUUUCUCCAUGUUGAACAGGCUGGUCUCCAACUCCCAACCUCAAGUGAUCUGCCCACCAUAGCCUCCCAAAGUGCUGGGAUUACAGGUGUGAGCCAUUGCGCAAGGCCAAAUCUAAGUGUUUCUUGACAUAUCUGGCUGUCUGAGGAUGGCACAAAGCCAGUUUAAACAGCUAAGAAAAAGUUGGUUUAUCCUUGUGGCUAUAUUUGUGGUUGAAAUUGUGAAGGCCAAGUGUCCUAUAUUUUCUCGAAGGACAUUUUUUUCUUUUCCUUUGACUAUUCUCUUGUUGAUCACUUUUUAAAUUUCUCACAACAGUCAUUCUUAAGUAAACCACUCAAAGGGUGUAGGGAGUGAAAAGAGCUGCCGUCUGGUUUCUGACGGAACUGGUUUACCUCUUGCUUCCCUACUUCCCAUUAGCAUUGGCUUCUUCAUCUAUAAAGAAUCAUUUAACAAAAUGACAUUUGUCUCGUAGAGCUGGUAGAGUAGUUAAAUGGGAUUAUGUAUGGAAGGACCUUAGCACAAUGCCUGCACAAAAUAAAAACUAAAUAAAUGUAAGGUAGGUGUAGUGGCACAUGCCUGUAGUCGUCCCAUCUACCUGAGGCUGAGACAGAAGGGUUCAUUAAGCCCAGGAGUUCAAGACUGCAGUGCACACUGAUGGCGCCUAUAAGUAGCCACUACACUCCAGCCUGAGCAAUAUAGCAAGAGCCUGUCUCUUAAAAAAAAAAAAAAAAGUGUUUUCUUUGAGACACAGUCUCACUGUGUCACCUAGGCAGGAGUGCAAUGGUGCGAUCUCAGCUCACUGCAACUUCUGCAACCCCAGCUCAAGAUAUCCUACCAUCUCAGCCUCCCAAGCAGCUGGGACUACAGGCACUUACCAGAACAUGCAGCUAAUUUUUGUAUUUUGUGUACAGAUGGGGUUUCUCCAUGUUUCCCAGGCUGGUCUUGAACUCCUGGGCUCAAGCAAUCUUCCUGCUUUGGCCCCCAGAAAAAUUGUUAAUGUUGAAAAAAACACUAAAUAAAUGUAAGCUUACAAAAUAGACCUCCUCACCCCAGGCUACCUCAGUCCUUGCAAAUGAUCUUGCUUGACUCCUACUUUACUGAGAUGAUGAAGCUCUCAAUCUACCCUCUUCUUUAUGCUCAUCCUUAACCUAUCUAUCUCAUUCCCUCUGUAUUCCUAUCUCAAGAAAAAACAGGUUGUCUUUCCUGCCAAGGCUAUGCCUACAUCUUUGAUCUCCUUUCUUUCCUCCCUCCUUCCUUCCUUCCCUCCCUCCCUUCUUCCCUUCCUCCUUCCUUCCCUCCCUCCUUCAUUCUCUCUUUUCUUCCUUCUUUCCUUCCUUCCCUCUUCCCUUCCUUCUUUUCCUUCCUCCUUCUCUCCCUCCCUUCUCUCUCUGAACCUUGCUCAGUUCUCUUCUCCCUUAGAUCAGCAGUUCUCUACAUGUGCCCUGUCUGUUCUUUUUAUUAUAAAUAGAUUCAGUUCUCUCCUGCCCUAUAGAAACAAACCAUCUUUUUUUUUUUUUUUUUUUUUUUUUGAGACGGAGUCUCGCUCUGUCACCCAGGCUGGAGUGGAGUGGCGCGGUCUCGGCUCACUGUAAGCUCCGCCUCCCAGGUUCACGCCAUUCUCCUGCCUCAGCCUCCCGAGUAGCUGGGACCACAGGCGCCCACCACCACGUCUGGCUAAUUUUUUGUAUUUUUAGUAGAGACGGGGUUUCACUGUGUUAGCUAGGAUGGUCUUGAUCUCCUGACCUCGUGAUCCGCCCGCCUCAGACUCCCAAAGUGCUGGGAAUACAGGCUUGAGCCACCGCACCCAGCCAAAACAAACCAUCUUUAAGCAUUAUAUUUUAGUUAUCUAUUGCUGCAUAAUAUAUUGCUUCAAGACUUAGUGACUUGAAACAACCAUAAGUAUUUCUCAUCUCCCAUGGUUUCUAUGAGUCUGGCAUUGAGUGGCAGCUUGGUUGGGCAGUUCUGGCUUGGGGUCUGUCAAAAGGUUGCAUUCAGGUCAGCUGAGGCUGCAGUAUCUGAAGGGUUAAUGGAAAUGGAGGAUCCACUUCUGAGGUAGCUCACUGCGGAAGCUGGCAAAUUUGUGUUGACAAGUGGAGUCCUCUCUGUGUAAGCAUCUCCACAGGGCCGCCUGAGUGUUCUCACAACAUGGUGGCUAGCAUUAUCCCAUGGUGUGUGAUUCAUGAAGCCAAUGCAGAAGCUAUAAUUUCUUUACGAACUAGCUUUGGAAGUCACACGCUGUUAUUUCCUCUGUAUUCUGUUGGUCACACAGAGCAGUCCUGGUACAACAUGGCACAACAAAAGUACAUGAACACUAAAAGGCAAUAAUGAUUGGGGGCCAACUCAGAGGCUGACUACCCCACCUACUAGCACUCUCUUUGUUCUCCUGUGACUUUGAAAAGGUUGCCCACCAUGGCUCCAAUUUCUCAUCCUCUACUCUCUCAGGCAGAGUUCCUGUUUGUAAGCAAUUAAAGUUGACUGUAGGUAUUCCAAAGAGAAGUUUAUUAAAAAGAUAUUGUUGGAAGUGCUGGAGAACCAGAGUUGCUGAAGUUGAGUCUCCAAAAAGAAUGCCCAAAACCAGGCCACAAGACUGGGCAGAAGAACCACAAUUUCCCUUGCUGUGGCCACUGCUACUGCUGUUGCUCAAAAAGCCAAAGUUUCUGCUGCCACUCGCCCAACAAAAAUACAGCUAAUCCUUGAACAACACAGGUUUGAACUGCACUUAUACAUGGAUUUUUUUUACAUGGAUUUUUUUCAACAAAAGUUACACUGAGUGUGCUUGGGUUCCUGCUUCCUGUUCCACGUCUUCUGCUUCUGCCACCCCUGAGACAGAAAGACCAGCCCCUCCUCUUCCUUCUCCUUCUCAGCCUGAUCAGCAUGAGGAUGACAAGGAUGAAGACCUUUAUGAUGAUCCGCUUCCACUAAAUGAAUAGUGUAUUAGUUCGUUCUCACACUGCUAUAAAGACAUACCCGAGACUGAUUAAUUUAUAAAGAAAAGAGGUUUAAUUGACUUAUAGUUAUGCAUGGCUUGGGAGGCCUCAGGAAACUUACAAUCAUGGCGGAAGGGGAAGAGGCACAUCUUACAUGGUGGCAGGCGAGAGAGAGAAGAGGGAACAAAGGAGGAACUUCCAAACAGUUAUAAAACCAUCAGAUCUCUUGAGAACUCACUCACUAUCAUGAGAACAGCAUGAGGGAAACCACCCGCAUGAUCCGAUCACCUCCCACCUGGUCCCUCCCUCAACAACUGGGGAUUACAACUCAAGAUGAGAUUUGGGUGGGAAUACAAAGCCUAGCCAUAUCAAAUAGUAAAUAUAUUUUCUUAUUAUUAUUUUCUUAAUGACAUUUUCUUUUCUCUAGCAUAUUUUAUUGUAAAAAUACAGUAUAUAAUACAUAUAUAAAAUAUGUGUUAACUGUUUAUAUAGGCUUCCAGUCAAUAGUAGGCUAUUACUACUUAAGUUUUGGGGAAUAAAAAGUAAUACAUGGAUUUUUGACAGCACAGAGGUCAUUGCCCCAGCCCCAUGUUGUUCAAGGGUCAACUGUAGUAAAAGAUCCCACAAGAAAGUCUCUCAAGCUGUUGGUUUCUGAACAGGUAGUUAAUAUGGGUGUAUCUGAUGAGAAGCUGCAUACAUCACAUUCCUGCAUCUCAGCUGCUAGAGAAGCUGAGAAUCUCAAUUUUCUGAGUUCUGUUUUGGUGAGGCAAGAUGCAAAAGGCUAGAAAUAUCCCAAACAUAAUAAGAGUUUUCAGAAAGUGUAGGCCACCGAAAAAGAAUGACAAACUGUCUGCAAUAUCCUCUUCCUUCUUAAUCCUUGCAAUUUGGCUUCUGUCUAAAUUCCACUAAAGCCGCUUCUCAGUGGUCUCCAGUGAUGUUACAUGGGCCUUCCCACCCUUGGAUAAUUCCUGCACCUAGUGGGGAAAUUAACUUGGCCAGCAUCUUAGGUCAAGUUCCCCAGAAGUGGACACUGAGUGAAUUCAUGCCUUUGAUUUUUUUUUUUUUUU